CCUGUCUUGGCUGGUGUCUGCAGAACCACAGGCAGCCUUCCACAUGGACCUACAGCCCAAUGGUCUAGAAAUUCCAUGGGCUACAAAUGGUAAAUAGGAUAGUAUCAGUUGGUCAGUAGAGAAGAAGGAUGGCCAGAGGAGUAGACAACAGAUGGGAAGCCUAUAGACCUAUGAGCAGCAUCCCUCGUCCAUGCUUGAGCUUUUCACCC
rnacentral:lncRNA from 1 species